rnacentral:rRNA from 1 species
CUGGAGGAAGAGAAAGAAAAAUCGAUUUCCUGAGUAGCGGCGAGCGAAACGGAAAGAGCCCAAACCAAGAAGCUUGCUUCUUGGGGUUGUAGGACACUCUAUACGGAGUUACAAAAGAAAGUUAUAAAUGAAGCGGUCUGGAAAGGCCCGCCAAAGACGGUAACAGCCCGGUAGUUGAAAUGGCUUUCCCUCCAGAGAGGAUCCUGAGUACGGCGGAACACGUGAAAUUCCGUCGGAAUCCGGGAGGACCAUCUCCCA